rnacentral:rRNA from 1 species
UGGGGAAUAUUGCACAAUGGGCGCAAGCCUGAUGCAGCCAUGCCGCGUGUGUGAAGAAGGCCUUCGGGUUGUAAAGCACUUUCAGCGAGGAGGAAGGUGGUGAGCUUAAUACGCUCAUCAAUUGACGUUACUCGCAGAAGAAGCACCGGCUAACUCCGUGCCAGCAGCCGCGGUAAUACGGAGGGUGCAAGCGUUAAUCGGAAUUACUGGGCGUAAAGCGCACGCAGGCGGUUUGUUAAGUCAGAUGUGAAAUCCCCGGGCUCAACCUGGGAACUGCAUUUGAAACUGGCAAGCUAGAGUCUCGUAGAGGGGGGUAGAAUUCCAGGUGUAGCGGUGAAAUGCGUAGAGAUCCGGAGGAAUACCGGUGGCGAAGGCGGCCCCCUGGACGAAGACUGACGCUCAGGUGCGAAAGCGUGGGGCAGCAAACAGGAUUAGAUACCCUGGUAGUCCACGCUGUAAACGAUGUCGAUUUGGAGGUUGUGCCCUUGAGGCGUGGCUUCCGGAGCUAACGCGUUAAAUCGACCGCCUGGGGAGUACGGCCGCAAGGUUAAAAC